rnacentral:rRNA from 1 species
GACGAACGCUGGCGGCGUGCUUAACACAUGCAAGUCGAACGGAAAGGCCCUGCUUUUGUGGGGUGCUCGAGUGGCGAACGGGUGAGUAACACGUGAGUAACCUGCCCUUGACUUUGGGAUAACUUCAGGAAACUGGGGCUAAUACCGGAUAGGAGCUCCUGCUGCAUGGUGGGGGUUGGAAAGUUUCGGCGGUUGGGGAUGGACUCGCGGCUUAUCAGCUUGUUGGUGGGGUAGUGGCUUACCAAGGCUUUGACGGGUAGCCGGCCUGAGAGGGUGACCGGCCACAAUGGGACUGAGAUACGGCCCAGAAGCCUACGGGAGGCAGCAGUGGGGAAUAUUGCACAAUGGGCGGAAGCCUGAUGCAGCAACGCCGCGUGCGGGAUGACGGCCUUCGGGUUGUAAACCGCUUUCGCAUGUGACGAAGAGUGAGUGACGGUAAUGGGUAAAGAAGCACCGGCUAACUACGUG